CGCGUAGGCGCCUUCUAAGUCGGACGUGAAAUCCCCGGGCUCAACCCGGGAACUGCGUCCGAUACUGGAAGGCUUGAAUCCGGGAGAGGGAUGCGGAAUUCCAGGUGUAGCGGUGAAAUGCGUAGAUAUCUGGAGGAACACCGGUGGCGAAGGCGGCAUCCUGGACCGGCAUUGACGCUGAGGCGCGAAAGCCAGGGGAGCAAACG
rnacentral:rRNA from 1 species